AGAAGUUCCAUACUACAAUUAUAAAAUUAAUUAGGGUCUUUUACUCCAGCCGUAUCGCUCUCUAAUUUGUUAGAGAGAGAAAAAUUCUCUCAAGUAGGUUGCUUGUUGUUUCUCUCUCGAACUUACCGAGUUCUAUUUUUCGUUAGUCCUCCUCUGCAUCCAGAUAGGGGAAGGCAUCUUUUUAGGAUUCCAUUUUGCUAUGUUUUCUAUGGUUUGUCAGGGUGAGUUAGGGCUCUCUCCCUCCCAUCUGGUGUGUUCAUAGGAUGAUUUUGUAGGUUUUUAGUAGCAAAUCUUCGAUCAUACAUGUAGAGGGUAAUUUAGUGUAGAUCUAUUAGGAGGAAGCUACUGAUUGAAACUUGGCUUGGGUUUGUGGUUUCCUUGUCACCCUUGUUCAAUGAAAGACCUUCGGUGGUUGGGAGAAGCUUGAUGGUAGGCUUCUUUAGGGAUUUGUAGAGCCAGCGUUAAAAGGGUUGCUAGCUUCCCAUGGCUAGUAUAGACUGAAAACACCAUGGCCCUUGCUUGCCUUUCUCCCAAAUCGAUGGUUGAAGCCUUGUGUUUUAUGGAUAGAGUUGAUUUGCUAGUUGAGGACCAAUGGUUCAAUCUUAGCUGAGUUGUUGUGGCUUCUUAGCGAUGGUGGAUCGCUUUAUCAUCGCCCUGACUUUCAAUGGGUCUCUUUAGCUCAUUUCACAUGAUGACGAUGUUGCUACAUGGAGAAGAAGACCCUGAUGUUGCUGUUGAAAUUUCAUCUAGAGUUAGGGUUUGAUGUAGGGGAGCUGGGCCUUGAAUUGAGCUUGAAACUAGGUAGGGGUUUUCUUAUUGUAAUUCUAGCUGUAAGCCUUGUGUAUCUUGACCCUUUAGGUGUGUUUAAUGCAAUGAAUU
rnacentral:misc_RNA from 1 species